GCUGGUUAAAGGAAGUAUCUGUGAUUUACAGAGAUGAUGGAAUUUGUAACACGUCCUCCUUAGGAAAACCUGAGAUGUUAUAGGAACAAACUCAGUAGUGAAUUUAGAAUUUUCUAUAUAACUGUAUUUUAAAGGGGGAACUGUAUUUUAAUCUGUACCCUGGGAAUGAUACCGAUGGGAAAAGACUAACUCAGUCUUUGCAGAUAUUUAUUCUUGAGGCCCACUGAGGUAAGAGAAGCAGUGUGCUGAGCCCUUCCCAGCC
rnacentral:lncRNA from 1 species